UAUAAAUGUAAAUUUUUACUUAAGUAGUAUUAGUUAUGAUCUUGAAAUUUAAAAAUUUUGGCGGUAUUUUAGUCUUUUCAGAGGAACCUGUUCUAUGAUUGAUAGUCCACGAUAGAUUAUACUUUAUUUUUUAGUUUAUAUAUCGUCGUUUUUAGAUAUUUUAUAAGAAUUUAAAUAUUUAAGAUUUUAUUUAAUUAAGUAGAUCAGAUCAAGGUGUAGCUUAUAAUAAAGGAGAGAUGGGUUACAAUAAAUAUAUUUAAAUGGAUUUGUAUAUGAAAAUAUAUAAUGAAGGUGGAUUUGAUAGUAAUAAGUUUUAUAAUAAAUUUAUGAUUAUGGCUCUAAAAUGUGU
rnacentral:rRNA from 1 species